rnacentral:tRNA from 1 species
UCCCAGAUGGCUCAGAGGUUAAAGCAUCUGCCUGCAAUGCGGGAGAUCUAGGUUCGAUCCUGGGUCAGGAAG